GCAAUGACUUCGAACAAGAAAUCUUGGGCGCCAUUAUCACAAAGACAAAAAAAGUGAGAACAUGUGUUCACGAUAUGUAAUAAGCUUAUCUGGGAACUCUACUAAAAGAUUCAUGGCAAAGGCUAUCGAGCUCCAGGGAGACUGCUUGAUAGUCCAGCUGCGAAACAACGUUUGUUUGUUUGUUUGUUUGUAUGCAAAAAAGGAAUUGAAUUGUGAUUUCAGUUUGCUUUCCUGGUACGAAAAAUCAUCCAAAUGCAUGAAUGAAUGAAACUUGAAUUGCUUACCUAUCAUUUUCACUUCGGACUCAGCUGAUAGGUUCCGAUCAGAUGCAAACUCUUGUGAAAAGUUGUAUUAGUUUGAGCCUGCUGACAUGACGGAAAAACCUGGAACACGGGCAAUUCCAGAUAAAGAGAGAAGACACGAUUACUUACAAUGGCUAUAGGGACAGUGCUGAAUAACGUAUGCGCGUGCUCUGCCGAAAACAAGCACAAUCGUAGUGUUAAAACAUUCGAGAAAAGAUCUCAGAGCCGAAGAGAGGACCUCGUCGACUCACUCGAUUGCCUCGGAAGGCAGACCUCAAUCACGAGACAAUACGUCAUAAUAAGGAUCUGAUUUUUAAAGAUUAUUUUAUUAUGUAUACUUAUUUGAUAAUAAAACAGUGUUAGUGUGA